GUCGAACGGCAGCACAGAGGAGCUUGCUCCCUUGGGUGGCGAGUGGCGGACGGCUGAUGAAUACAUCGGAAUCUACUUUUUCGUGGGGGAUAACGUAGGGAAACUUACGCUAAUACCGCAUACGACCUACGGGUGAAAGCAGGGGAACCUUCGGGCCUUGCGCGAUUGAAUGAGCCGAUGUCGGAUUAGCUAGUUGGCGGGGUAAAGGCCCACCAAGGCGACGAUCCGUAGCUGGUCUGAGAGGAUGAUCAGCCACACUGGGACUGAGACACGGUCCAGACUCCUACGGGAGGCAGCAGUGGGGAAUAUUGGACAAUGGGCGCAAGCCUGAUCCAGCCAUACCGCGUGGGUGAAGAAGGCCUUCGGGUUGUAAAGCCCUUUUGUUGGGAAAGAAAUCCAGCCGGCUAAUACCUGGUUGGGAUGACGGUACCCAAAGAAUAAGCACCGGCUAACUUCGUGCCAGCAGCCGCGGUAAUACGAAGGGUGCAAGCGUUACUCGGAAUUACUGGGCGUAAAGCGUGCGUAGGUGGUUGUUUAAGUCUGUUGUGAAAGCCCUGGGCCUCAACCUGGGAACUGCAGUGGAAACUGGACAACUAGAGUGUGGUAGAGGGUAGCGGAAUUCCCGGUGUAGCAGUGAAAUGCGUAGAGAUCGGGAGGAACAUCCAUGGCGAAAGCAGCUACCUGGACCAACACUGACACUGAGGGACGAAAGCGUGGGGAGCAAACAAGAAUAGAUACCCUGGUAGUCCACGCCCUAAACGAUGCGAACUGGAUGUUGGGUGGAAUUUGGGACGCACUAUCCAAACUAACGCCUUAAGAUCGGCCGCCUGGGGAGUACGGGCGCCAGACUGAAA
rnacentral:rRNA from 1 species